rnacentral:rRNA from 1 species
CAAGCCCUGAUGCAGCCAUGCCGCGUGUGUGAAGAAGGCCUUCGGGUUGUAAAGCACUUUCAGUCAGGAGGAAAGGUUAGUAGUUAAUACCUGCUAGCUGUGACGUUACUGACAGAAGAAGCACCGGCUAACUCCGUGCCAGCAGCCGCGGUAAUACGGAGGGUGCGAGCGUUAAUCGGAAUUACUGGGCGUAAAGCGUACGCAGGCGGUUUGUUAAGCGAGAUGUGAAAGCCCCGGGCUCAACCUGGGAACUGCAUUUCGAACUGGCAAACUASAGUGUGAUAGAGGGUGGYAGAAUUUCAGGUGUAGCGGUGAAAUGCGUASAGAUCUGAAGGAAUACCGAUGGCGAAGGCAGCCACCUGGGUCAACACUGACGCUCAUGUACGAAAGCGUGGGGAGCAAACGGGAUUAGAUACCCCGGUAGUCCACGCCGUAAACGAUGUCUACUASAAGCUCGGAGCCUCGGUUCUGUUUUUCAAAGCUAACGCAUUAAGUAGACCGCCUGGGGAGUACGGCCGCAAGGUUAAAACUCAAAUGAAUUGACGGGGGCCCGCACAAGCGGUGGAGCAUGUGGUUUAAUUCGAUGCAACGCGAAGAACC